UACGAAGGGGGCUAGCGUUGCUCGGAAUUACUGGGCGUAAAGGGCGCGUAGGCGGCCUGCUAAGUCGAACGUGAAAUCCCUGGGCUCAACCCAGGAACUGCGUCCGAUACUGGUUGGCUUGAAUCCGGGAGAGGGACGUGGAAUUCCAGGUGUAGCGGUGAAAUGCGUAGAUAUCUGGAGGAACACCGGUGGCGAAGGCGACGUCCUGGACCGGCAUUGACGCUGAGGCGCGAAAGCCAGGGGAGCAAACGGG
rnacentral:rRNA from 1 species